GUACCAGUACUGAGUCAAUGUGGAGGUUAUAUACAGGGGGUACCAGUACUGAGUCAAUGUGGAGGUCAUAUACAGGGGGUACCAGUACUGAGUCAAUGUGGAGGUCAUAUACAGGGGGUACCAGUACUGAGUCAAUGUGGAGGUCAUAUACAGGGGGUACCAGUACUGAGUCAAUGUGGAGGCUAUAUACAGGGGGUACCAGUACUGAGUCAAUGUGGAGGUCAUAUACAGGGGGUACCAGUACUGAGUCAAUGUGGAGGUCAUAUACAGGGGGUACCAGUACUGAGUCAAUGUGGAGGCUAUAUACAGGGGGUACCAGUACUGAGUCAAUGUGGAGGCUAUAUACAGGGGGUACCAGUACUGAGUCAAUGUGGAGGUCAUAUACAGGGGGUACCAGUACUGAGUCAAUGUGGAGGCUAUAUACAGGGGGUACCAGUACUGAGUCAAUGUGGAGGUUAUAUACAGGGGGUACCAGUACUGAGUCAAUGUGGAGGUUAUAUACAGGGGGUACCAGUACUGAGUCAAUGUGGAGGUUAUAUACAGGGGGUACCAGUACUGAGUCAAUGUGGAGGUUAUAUACAGGGGGUACCAGUACUGAGUCAAUGUGGAGGUUAUACACAGGGGGUACCAGUACUGAGUCAAUGUGGAGGUUAUACACAGGGGGUACCAGUACUGAGUCAAUGUGGAGGUUAUACACAGGGGGUACCAGUACUGAGUCAAUGUGGAGGUUAUAUACAGGGGGUACCAGUACUGAGUCAAUGUGGAGGUUAUACACAGGGGGUACCAGUACUGAGUCAAUGUGGAGGUUAUAUACAGGGGGUACCAGUACUGAGUCAAUGUGGAGGCUAUAUACAGGGGGUACCAGUACAGAGUCAAU